rnacentral:rRNA from 1 species
UACGAAGGGGGCUAGCGUUGCUCGGAAUUACUGGGCGUAAAGGGAGCGUAGGCGGACUGUUAAGUUGGAGGUGAAAGCCCAGGGCUCAACCUUGGAAUUGCCUUUGAUACUGGCAGUCUUGAGUACGGAAGAGGUAUGUGGAACUCCGAGUGUAGAGGUGAAAUUCGUAGAUAUUCGGAAGAACACCAGUGGCGAAGGCGACAUACUGGUCCGUUACUGACGCUGAGGCUCGAAAGCGUGGGGGAGCAAACAGGAUUAGAUACCCUGGUAGUCCACGCCGUAAACGAUGAGUGCUAGUUGUCGGCAUGCAUGCAUGUCGGUGACGCAGCUAACGCAUUAAGCACUCCGCCUGGGGAGUACGGUCGCAAGAUUAAAACUCAA